AGUAAUCAGUUAUUAUAAAACCAAUACUCCUAAUAAAAUAAGUAUAUGAUAUAAUUUGUAGAUCUAUGUAGUGUGUGUGUGUGUAUAUAUAUGUAUAUAUGUAUAUAUAUGUGUGUGUGUGUGUGUGUAGCUUAUAACAUGUAACAUUGCUCUUAGUAUAGACCAAAAAAUAAAAGUUGCUUAUUCAAGCAUUUACAAUUAGCUGUCUCCAAUUACAACUGACACAAACAUUUCCUCCAAUUUUUUAUCAUGGUCUCCAAAUCUUGUUAGGAUAUGAAACCCAGAUUUGGUAAAUACAAUCUCCUUCCUUUCAAAAGCAUCUGAAUUGGAGCAAAUGAACAUUUAUGCAUAAUGGGUGUUAAACAUUAAUAGAGAAUGGCUAACUGCUUUGGAACAUAGGAUUUAGUUCUACUGAAGAAUGUGGGUUUUUUUUUUUUUUUUUUAAUGUAGUUAGGAAUUCCAGCAGGUAAAUUGCACUGAACAGAAAAUCUGGAAUCCAGCUUUGAAUUUACACCUAUUAUACUAUCAUUUAUCUUAAUAGUAGAUGAACUGAAAUUUCCAAUGAUUCUCCAUUUUUUUCUGUCCUCAAAAUGAAAUAGUCCGGUUGAAAAAAUCAUUAAUCUUCAAGUGGUGACAGAUAAAAAGGACUUAGUUUGUUGUCAGUACUUCUCAACUUAAAGGUUAGGUCAGCAAUGGCUUAUAUCAUGACACUGAUAAAUUUUUCUAAUGACCAGAAUAGUUUGAUUUAUAAUAGUUUUUUGUUUUUGUUUUAAGGAAUAUGUAUCUUUGCUAUCUGACUCCAUCCUAAAGAUGCAUUUCUCUAUUUUGCGUUCUUUCUUUUUUUACAACAUAGAGGUGAAAUGACAGAGCAAUAAGUAAUACUCAGUAAAAUUAAAAUAAGCAUUUUAAGAGCUUUUCAUGAAUUUUUAAAAGCAUAAUUGUAAAGAUGAAAACUGGGCAAAGGGCUAAGGGGAAAAUGGUCAGGAGUCUUUGUGGUUUAAAGGACUCAAGAGGGUAAAGAUUUCUGUUGACUGAGAAGUUAAUGAAAGUAUAAAAUCAGACAAAAAGCAUAUAGGCAGAUUUCCUAAUCUCAGGAAUAAACUAAUCUAUCUUUGAAAUUUUUGAAUAAUGUUCAUUAACCAAAGGGUCAAGAUAAUUGUUUUGUUUGAGGGUCUUUUACUCCAUUAAAAAUAAAGGAGAAUCAAAAUCCCUGGUUUACUGGUAUUAUCAGAAAUAGGCUAUCUUGACUAGCAAUAUUCAGGCCUUUCUUCAAGGUUAGGCCAAUCUAGUUUCUUUCCCCAUGACUUCAGUUCCUUUACUCUUCCUUGCACAAUACUUGUAAGUUCAUAGUCAUGUUAUUGGAGGAAAUGGGCUUAAGGAGAGGUUGAAAGCCAUUUACAAAAAAAAUGGUUAGACUGGUUUUCUCUCAAUGCCAUUUUUCUUGACUAAUUUUAGUUCUUUUUUAAAAAUAGGAUGUAAUUAAAAAUUAAAUGUAAUUAAAAAUUAAGUAAAAUUACGUAGGGGAAUAUAUUAUAAGCAAAUAUGUUGCUAAUAGUGGUUGUAUUUGUGAUAGAAUUUCGAAUUAUUUUCUUCACUUCUCCAAGUUUCUUUGUAACAUGGUUCAUAUUUAUAAUGCCAGUAACUCAUUUAUUUUUUAAAGUAAUGCUCCUAACAUAGGAAUCAAGUCUUGAAAUUUUUCUAAAGCUCUUAAUCAAAAUGGCAUCUACUGGAUUUUUAAAAUAUAAAGUAUAUCUGUGAUGCCUGGAGGCUCAAUUGGUUGAGCAUCCCACUCUUGAUUUUGGCUCAGGUCACGAUCUCAAGGUUCACGAGAUCAAGCCCCACAUGAGGCUCUGUGCUGUCAGCAUGGAGCCUGCUUGGGAUUUUCUCUCUCCUUCUCCCUACCCCUUCCCUGCUUAUACACACACCUAAAAAUAAAUAAACAUUAACAAAAUAAAAUAUAAAGCACGUUUCUAAAACACGCCAUUUUUCUUCAGUGAAGGAUACAAUUAAAUACAGUACCAUCUAAUGUAGAUCUCAAAAAAAUAUAUGUGGACUGUAUGCCUCACCCCACCUUUGAUUGUGAAUCAUUUUACUCAUCAUUUUACUGAUAAAUGCUGCUUCAGUCUUCUAUUCGAAGCCUCUUCCAAGUAGUGUUUAGGGUGGGGUCAUUAGGAAGAUUCUUAAAUUGUUAAAGAUUAAACUUCUUCAUGUAGAAACCUUGUGGAGUCAUGAUAACAUAGCUUCACUAUGAGCCUUUUCUGAUUUUAGAAGUAUUCAUGGAACCUGAAGAAUUACUUUUCUGAUUGUUUUGUUGUUGUUAUUGUUUUUUUCAGAUUCAACACCAAAAAAAGGAGGGAGAAACUAAGAAUCAAGGCUGUAGCUUAAAUGCAUUUGAAGGGAGUUUACUACUGUGUUACUGGGCAUUUUUUUUCUUGUAUCAUCAACAGACUUGGAAAAAACUCACUUUUUACUAUAGAUUUUAUUCUAUACAACAUUAAUGCAGAUACAAGCAGCCAGUGUCUACUGAGAGAAUUCUUACCCUCUUCUCCAGAGCAUAUUAUUUUGCACCUCUUCUGUGAAGGCUAGGAGAAUGAUUGCUUGUAAGGUACUAUUUUAAUAGUACAAUUCAAAAUAGAAUAUUUUAACAAUUACUUUAUAUGAAUUCUGUGGAUACCUGUAAUGUAACCAUAAUGCAGUGGUGAGUAUUCCAGUAAUUGUUUUUGGAGGGAGAUUUCUCACCUGCUUGUCCGGUUUGUCACAGUCACGGGAAGUCAUCCGUUAUCAAGUACUUCUGUGUUCUCCGUAUCAGCUUCUAGUGCCACGAGAGGGGUGUGUACCUGCUGCCCCACCCCACAAGAGUUAGUGUGCCUGACUCUUGGCUAUCAUGUGCCAGAUGUUUUGUGCUAACCCCCCAAAAAGGUUUUCUCUGUUAAAUCUGAAAAUGCAUUUUUUUUUUAUCCUACAGGGAAAUUUUUAAAGUAGUGUUCAGUAACUUCAAAUGAAUAAGAUGGACCGUCACAUUGAUCUAUUUUAAAACUACUUUUUCAAACAUAUGAAGUAUUUGACUUUUCCCAGUGGGUUCCCAUGUACUUCAAAGACCCUGCUGUAGUUUGCUAGUUCUCUGUGUUAAUAGAAUCUUCCAUGUAAGAGUUCCACAUCAAAGGCAAGGAGUAAGUAUACCAUCGUGUAAGAUUGGGUCAGAACUUGGGUCAGUUACCUAUCGUGUUACACAACAGAGUCAACAAAAGCACAAACAUUAUCCCUCUCUGUAUAAUAGAAAAUAGACACAUAAGUCUUUAUCAAAUUUUUCUGAGAGUUUAUAAGUUCUUGACACCAAUAAGUUGUUUUCUGUGAUUUCAGUAUUACAGGUUACACAGAUUUUGUCUUGUAACAAAAUUUUGCUGUACAAAGGAGGAAUGUUUUGUGCGAAUGAUGUAGAGUUUAGUUGUAAGGUUUCCAGUUCUCUGAAUGGCUUUAUUAAAAGAUCUCUGAACUUGGGACACACAUGGGUAUUUCCUCCCUCUCAGCCCUCUUCUGUAGUCCAGCUGCCUCAGUAAUUACUCUUGACUGUUGUCUCAGGUGGGUCUCCUGUAAUCAAGAGACACUUAAGCAUGGUUGGGGCCAGGUGUGCACGUCUCUAUGCUGUGAGCCUUCCCCUAAACUUGUUACCAUUUGAAUUUUAGCAAAAUAAAAUGUCUCAAGUUGACUCAUGCCUUUGUGAAGCUUGUCUUUGAUAAUAAGUGGAACUGAGUCUAUAUUAUCAUCUUGGCACAACAGCAGCAACCAGCCAGCUCUUGGAAUCUCUCGUGCUUUCCUCCUAAGAAAACAAGAGGUGGUUUGCAUGUUCCUUCAUUGACUCAGUGAGUUACAUCAGUCAUCCUGGGAAAGAGAAUUAUAAUUGAAAGGAAUGACACUAUUGCUUAAUCUCCCUCCAGCCCACUCUCCUGUCUGACACCAAAUCAAAAACUCAACUGAAACAAAAGAAAAAAGGUAUUGCUGCCAGUAGCUUUAAGAUUUCGAUUAAAAACAUUUUUCAUUCAUUCUGAAAAUAGUUGAUGAUUAAUGGGCAUUAGUUAACCUCAAAGAAUUUUAAAGGACUGAGAUGUGCCCCAGUCUUCAAACACCAGUUUUUCUCCCUGGCCCCACCCCCCACUAGUCUCCACGCAGUUUUAAAACUCAAUCCCUGCAGAUUAUGCAAAGAAAGGUUUUUCACAUGUCCUUUGGCACUUCUGCUUUCAUCAUCUAUAGUCCCAUUUCCUCCCUUCAGGUAAUGGUGACUUCCCUUCACAAACUCCAGCUGAACCUUCCUUGGAGGAAAAUUGCCCCUAAGAGCCCGGGAGGUGGCUCAAUACAGUGACGUAGGAUGAUCUUGAACUCACCUCCUCCCAUGAACACACCAAAUCUACAGCUACGUAUGGAACAGUUCCCUCUGAAAAAGACCUGAAAACUAGAUGAGCAACUUCUUCACAUCAGGCAACAAGGAAAAGGCCAAAGUGAAGUGGGUAGCAGAGGCUGAGACACGGUCUCUACCCCAGCAAGGCAACCCACAAUCACAACGUAACUCACAAACCCGGAGCGUCUCUCUGAGGACCAGCAGGUGAUACCUUGUGUCAGGCACCCUAACUUUUAAUUCCUGCACCUAACAGAUGAGCCCCCAACACAUCUGGCUUAGAAAACCAUGAGCCCUAAAGAGCUGUGGUGAAAUGAGAAAUGGCUCAAAGAGCUAGUGUGCAGACUCUCUUGCCCCAGGGUGCAGCACAGAAGCAGCCAUUAGAAAUGCACCCAGACUUUAAGAAAUGAAGAUCUUUCCUAUAAUCUUAAAGCUUCAGCUGGAGGGGCAGGGACCUGCUGGGACACUCUUCUGCUUGUGGGUGACAUAUUUGCACUCUCUGUCUGCCUUGUAAAGCUGGUGGGUGCCAUCUUUACCCUCCAACUGGCAGGCACCAUCUUCACACUCUCCCUCUGCCAUGCUUCAGAGCACCAGCAUUUCCUGGACGGGAGUUUUUGCACACAUCUGGUGCCUUUGCUCUUGUGGCUGCCAGCAAGGGGACACCCCUUGAUUGCUGGGCUCAGUAGGCCAGUAUUGCUUCCAUUCCUGAGUUGCACGGGACUCUAACAAUCAGACCAUCCUUGGCAGAUGACCAUCCCCAGGACACUGUACACAUAGCAAAGGGAAAGAUCCUCCCAGUUGCUCAGAGAAAGAAGCCUAUUUGCAAGCUUUGGCCUUCUGGGCCACCUUCUGCUCCGGCACACUUAGAAUAAUGUGUGGGAGAGUUCUCAGGGAACAGAGUCCAGUGGAUAUGGUCUUUGCACUCUCUGCCUCACUAGAGCUCAUAAAUAUCUCCCUAGGAAGGUGCUUAUAUCCUUGUUUGGCACCCUUGAUUUUUUGUAGCUGCUUUUGGUAGAUAAGGUGCUACUUGUGUUUCUGAGUCCCACACAUUUCUAUAGUCCCAGGCUACAACACACGUAGUCUGUGAAAGAGAACUAUUUGUCCUGGAGCUGCAGGCCUACAUGACAAGCUUUAAGUUUGGCAUACAUCUACAAGCUUAGAGACGUGCUCUGAGGAAGUAAGUGCAGCAGGGUGUCAUCUUUGUGCUGUCCCUCCACCUCACUACAGCUCCCUGGCAUCUCCUAGAAAGGAGUUCACACACUUACCUGGAGCCCCAAUUUUAGUCAGUCUCCCAGGGGAUAUUCCCUAGAUAACCUGGUUCUAGUGGCUAGAGGGGCUUAUGUGCAAUCCCAUAGAAAUUAUAGAUAUAUAUUUGCAUUCUUUAUAUAUUUAUAUUUACAUAAAUUUAUAAAUAUACAUAAAUUUAUACGUGUGUGUAUGUAUAUAUAUAUAUACACAUAUAUGUGUGUAUAUAUAUAUAUAUAUAUAUAUAUAUAUAUAUAUAUUUAAAUUGCAUUCUUUAACAGCUGCUGCCUGAGGGUUUGGUUUCCAACCAGCCUGAAUCUAGGUACUAACUGGUCUUGGCACACCAUCAACUACAAGGAGCUAUUAAAAUAAGCUACUCAGACAAUCAAAAAGGUUAGAGAGACAACCAAGAGCUAAGGCAGGGUUGAAUAAUAAGGUUCACCUCCUAAACAAGGCCAGCCUUUCAAGAAUGGGAGAAGUGUCUUUUCAUCUGAUGCACAGAAAACAACAGUCAAGGCAAAUGAAGAAACAGGAAUAUGUUCCAGAGGGAAGAAAAAGAUAAAAAUCUCUGGAAAAACCUUAAGGAAGAUGGUAGGUAAUUUACCUGAUAACAGAUAAAGAGAUGGAAAAUAUAAUGAAGUACCAAAUAGAAGUCACAGCUGUAGAAUCCAGUCACUGAACUGAAAAAUACAUUAGAAGGGUUCAAUAGCAGACUAGAUAAAACAGAAGAAAAGAACAGUGAACUCGAAUACCUGGCAGUGGAACUACCCAGGCAGAGGAGAUUAAGGGACGACAUGGGGCAAAACCAAGCAUACUAACACAAUAGGGGUCCCAGAAGGAGGUGAGAAAGACAAGGGGGUUGAAAACUUCCCUAAACCUGGGAAGGAAACAGGCAUUCCAGAUCCAGGAAGGCCAGAGAGUUCCAAAUAAGAGGAAGGCAAAAAGACCCACACCAAGGCAUAGUUUAAAAGAGAAAAGGUAAAGAUGACCAAAAAGAAAAGUCCUAAAAGCAGCAAGAGAAGAACAACUUGGUAAGUAAAGGGAAGCCCCAUAAGCCUAUAAGAUUUUUGUCAACAGAAAUUUUGCAAGCUGGAAGGGAGUGGCACAGAAGCUGAAGGAGUUCAUCACCAUGAAACUGGCCUUACAAGAAAUGUUAAAGGGACUACUUUUAAGCUGAAAAAGGAUGCUAAUUAGUUAAAAAGAAAAUAUGAAAGUAUAGAUCUCACUGGUAAUGGGAAAUAUAUAGUAAGGGUAGUAGAUUAAUCACUUACAAAGUUAGCAUGAGGGUUAAAAGACAUAAUAAAACUACAAUAAUUGGUUAAGGGAUAUUCAAGAUUAAAAGAUGUUAAAUGUGGGACACCUGCGUGGCUCAGUCAGUUGAGCAUCUGACUUCAGCUUACAUCGUGAUCUCUCAGUUCAUGAGUUUGAGCCCCACAUCAGGCUCACAAGCUGUCAGCACAGAGCCCACUUCGGAUCCUCUAUACCUCUCUGUCUGCCCCUCCCCUGCUUGUGCUUGCUCAAAAAUAAAUGUGUUUAACAUCAAAAACAUAAAACAUGUGGAUGGAGGUUAAAAUGUAGAACUUCAAAAUACAUCCAACCUUACAACGUUACCAAUUUAAAAUAGACUGUUAUAAGUUGUAAUAUAUAAGCUUUAUGGUAACCACAAGGCAGAAGGCUCUACUAGAUACACAAAGGAUAAUAAAGCAACCAAAGCAUACCACCAAAGAAAGUUAUGAAAUCACAUAGGAAGAGAGCAAAACCCAUCUAUAUAUAUGCUGCCUAGAAAAGACUCAUUUCAGAUAGAAGGACACAGAAAGUGAAGGAAUGGAAACCAAAAGAAAACUGGGGUAGCUAUGCUCACAUCAGACAAAACAUACGUGAAAACAAAAACUGUAACAUGAGACUAAAAAGGGCAUUAUGCAAUGAUAAAGGGGCCAGUCCAACAAGAGGACAGAGCAUUUUAAAGUAGUUAUACAGCCAACAUAGAAGCACCUAAACAUGUAAAGUCAAUAUUACCAGACAUAAAGGGAGCAAUAGCAGUAUAAUACUAGAGUACUUUAAUACCUCACAUCAACACAUAGAUCAUCCAAGCAGAAGAUCAAUAAGGAAGCAGUCUUAAAUGACAUGUUAGACCACAUGGACCUAACAGACAUGUAUAGAACAUUCCAUCCCAAAGCAGGAGAAUAUGCACUCCUCUCAAGGGCACAUGGAACAUAACAUUCUCCAGGAUAAAUAUGUUAGGCCACAAAACAGAUCUUAAUAAAACAGAUUGAAAUCAUAUACAUCUGAAAAAGAUGAAAAAACCACAAUGGUAUUAAACUAGAAAUCAGUUAUAAGAAGAAAACUAGAAAAUUCACUAAUAUGCGGAGAUUAAAUAACAUGCUACUGAACCAAUUUGUCAAUGAAGAAAUAAUACCUUGAGACAAAUGGAAAUAAAACAUACCAACAUGUAUAGGGUACAACAAAAGCAGUUAUAAGUGGGAAGUUCAUAGCAAUAAUGCCUACUUCAAUUAAAAAAAAAAACUCAAACUAACUUUACACUUCAAGGAACUAGAGAAGAAAACAACAGACAAAACCCAAAGUUAGUAGAAGGAAGGAAAUAAUAAAGUUCAGAGCUGGUUCUUUGAAAAGAUCAGUAAGAUGGCAAACCUUGAGUUAGACUUACCAAGAAAAAAAGAAGAUUUAAAUAAAAUCAGAAAUGAAAGGAUAUGUUAAACCAGAAACCACACAUGUAUAAAGGAGCAUAAGAGACUAGUGUGAACAAUUACACACCGACAAAUUGGGAACCUAGAAGAAAUGACAAAUAAAGGUGGUAAUAAGCUCCUUGACAUUGGUCUUGACAAUGUUUCAGAGUGGACACCAAAAAGCAAAGACAACAAAAGUAAAAAUAAAUAAAAUAAAAAAUAAAGUAAAAAAUAAAAAAAGUAAAAACAGGACUACAUCAUACUAAAAAACUGCACAGCAAAG